rnacentral:tRNA from 1 species
AGCUCAGUGGAUAGAGCAGAGGUUUCCUAAACCUUUGGUCGGAGGUUCAACUCCUCCC